GAUGAACGCUGGCGGCGUGCUUAACACAUGCAAGUCGAGCGAGAAGUUUUGAAAAGAUUCUUCGGAUGAAAUUUAAAAUGGAAAGCGGCGGACGGGUGAGUAACGCGUAGGCAACCUGCCCCAUACAAAGGGAUAGCAUUUGGAAACGAAUAUUAAUACCUUAUGAAACUUAACUAGUGCAUGCUAGGUAGGUCAAAGAUUUAUCGGUAUGGGAUGGGCCUGCGUCUGAUUAGCUAGUUGGUGAGGUAACGGCUCACCAAGGCGACGAUCAGUAGCCGACCUGAGAGGGUGAACGGCCACAUUGGAACUGAGACACGGUCCAAACUCCUACGGGAGGCAGCAGUGGGGAAUAUUGCACAAUGGGGGAAACCCUGAUGCAGCAACGCCGCGUGAACGAUGAAGGCCUUUGGGUCGUAAAGUUCUGUU
rnacentral:rRNA from 1 species